AUCAAAACUACGCUUAUUCGUCUUCUCGCGUUUCUGGAAUUUUCUCCUUCCAUAUUAGUGUUGGGUUGGGAGCUCCGCCGUUGAGUUCGGAGACAUGUCGGAAAUAGUUCGACUUCGCCGAUAAGGUUCUCUAUCCUUUAUGAAAUGGGAAACAAGAUCAUUUAUGAAACUGAAGCUAAAGGAUUGAACCCUGGAUUGAUAGUGCUGUUGGGUUGUUGUGGGCUGCUGCUGAUAUUCCUUGUAGGGAACUAUGUACUUUACACUUAUGCACAGAAAAAUCUCCUCCUAGAAAAAGAAAGCUGGUAUCCAAGAAGAAGAUGAAGAGAGAGAGGCUGAAGCAAGGAGUCUCUGCACCAGGGAGUAGGACUUUGUCUGAUUUCCUCAGCUCCCUAUCUUAAACUGUUCCCAACUUCCUGUUUUGUAUCCAGUGAGUUACAUCAGUUAAACUUAACAAUUUAGUCAAACAUAAACUGUAAAUUUGGGUAGAUCAGGAAGUGAAUUACUGUUUCUGGUUUGUCUGGUGCAGGUUUACUUGUCUUAAAUUCUGUUGCAUUUACU